UACGUAGGGACCGAGCGUUGUCCGGAAUCAUUGGGCGUAAAGAGCGUGUAGGCGGCCUUUUAAGUCCUGCGUGAAAUCCUGCGGCUCAACCGCAGACGGUCGUGGGGAAACUGGAAGGCUAGAGUGCGGGAGAGGAGAGUGGAAUUCCCGGGUGUAGCGGUGAAAUGCGCAGAUAUCGGGAAGAACACCCGUGGCGAAGGCGGCUCUCUGGAACGCAACUGACGCUGAGACGCGAAAGCGUGGGGAGCAAACAGGG
rnacentral:rRNA from 1 species